GCAGCUCCCAAAGAUGCAGGGAUCUAUGGCUGCCUAGCAAGUAAUUCAGCUGGAACAGAUAAACAGAGUUCUACUCUCAGAUACAUAGAAGCCCCUAAGUUGAUGGUAGUUCAGAGUGAGCUCUUGGUUGCCCUUGGGGAUAUAACCGUUAUGGAAUGCAAAACCUCUGGUAUUCCUCCACCUCAAGUUAAAUGGUUCAAAGGAGAUCUUGAGUUGAGGCCCUCAACAUUCCUCAUUAUUGACCCUCUCUUGGGACUUUUGAAGAUUCAAGAAACUCAAGAUCUGGAUGCUGGCGAUUAUACCUGUGUAGCCAUCAAUGAGGCUGGAAGAGCAACUGGCAAGAUAACUCUGGAUGUUGGCUCACCUCCAGUUUUCAUACAAGAACCUGCUGACGUGUCUGUGGAAAUUGGCUCAAAUGUGACAUUACCUUGUUAUGUUCAGGGUUAUCCAGAACCAGCAAUCAAAUGGCGAAGAUUAGACAACAUGCCAAUUUUCUCAAGACCUUUUUCAGUUAGUUCCAUCAGCCAACUAAGAACAGGAGCUCUCUUUAUUUUAAGUAGGUUGAAGGAAAUAUAUUUUGUAUGAAUAUGUACUCUUAUGUUAUACACUUAUGUUUUAUACAUAGGUAUUGCUAUUUAAAAUAGUAUAUUAAUCUUGCCAACACAUUUUAUGUUCAUUGCAUUUUACUUUGAAAUAGUACUGGCAUUUUAUAUACAGGAA
rnacentral:sRNA from 1 species